rnacentral:misc_RNA from 1 species
UUAAGUUCAGCGGGUAGUCCUACCUGAUUUGAGAUCAAACGUUCACAGAGCUGUCUUCGCUGAGGAGAGACGUUUAUGAGCUCCAGCGAACCUCCAUCACUGAAGGUUAUCUGGUGGAAAACCACAAGCGUAGAUAGUUAUCACACCUGUGACGCCACCAAACACUGGGAAGCUGAUCCAUUUGAGAGGAGCCGACCACA